UCUGCAACUCGACUACAUGAAGCUGGAAUCGCUAGUAAUCGUAGAUCAGCAUGCUACGGUGAAUACGUUCCCGGGUCUUGUACACACCGCCCGUCACACCACGAGAGUUUGUAACACCCGAAGCCGGUGGAGUAACCUUUUAGGAGCUAGCCGUCGAAGGUGGGACAAAUGAUUGGGGUGAAGUCGUAACAAGGUAGCCGUAUCGGAAGGUGCGGCUGGAUCACCUCCUUUCUAAGGAGA
rnacentral:rRNA from 1 species